GAGUGGCGGACGGGUGAGUAACACAUCGGAACGUACCCAGUAGUGGGGGACAACCUCGAGAAAUCGAGGCUAAUACCGCAUACGACCACGGGUGAAAGCGGGGGACCGCAAGGCCUCGCGCUAUUGGAGCGGCCGAUGUCCGAUUAGCUUGUUGGCGGGGUAAGAGCCCACCAAGGCGACGAUCGGUAGCUGGUCUGAGAGGAUGAUCAGCCACACUGGGACUGAGACACGGCCCAGACUCCUACGGGAGGCAGCAGUGGGGAAUUUUGGACAAUGGGGGCAACCCUGAUCCAGCCAUGCCGCGUGCGGGAAGAAGGCCUUCGGGUUGUAAACCGCUUUCGGCCGGAACGAAAUCGGGCGGGUGAACAUCCCGCCUGGAUGACGGUACCGGAAGAAGAAGCACCGGCUAACUACGUGCCAGCAGCCGCGGUAAUACGUAGGGUGCGAGCGUUAAUCGGAAUUACUGGGCGUAAAGCGUGCGCAGGCGGUCUCGUAAGACAGGUGUGAAAGCCCCGGGCUUAACCUGGGAAUUGCGCUUGUGACUGCGAGGCUGGAGUGCGGCAGAGGGAGGUGGAAUUCCACGUGUAGCAGUGAAAUGCGUAGAGAUGUGGAGGAACACCGAUGGCGAAGGCAGCCUCCUGGGCUAGCAC
rnacentral:rRNA from 1 species